rnacentral:rRNA from 1 species
UACGGAGGGUGCGAGCGUUGUCCGGAAUCAUUGGGCGUAAAGGGCGCGUAGGUGGCCCGCUCAGCGUGCGGUGAAAGCUCGGGGCUCAACCCCGAGUCGGCCGUGCGAACUGGUGGGCUGGAGCACUGUAGAGGCAGGCGGAAUUCCGGGUGUAGCGGUGGAAUGCGUAGAGAUCCGGAAGAACACCGGUGGCGAAGGCGGCCUGCUGGGCAGUUGCUGACGCUGAGGAGCGAAAGCGUGGGGAGCGAACAGG